rnacentral:rRNA from 1 species
GAGUUUGAUCGUGGCUCAGAUUGAACGCUGGCGGCAUGCCUUACACAUGCAAGUCGAACGGCAGCACGGGAGCUUGCUCCUGGUGGCGAGUGGCGAACGGGUGAGUAAUGCAUCGGAACGUAUCCUGGAGUGGGGGAUAACGUAGCGAAAGUUACGCUAAUACCGCAUAUUCUGUGAGCAGGAAAGCGGGGGACCUUCGGGCCUCGCGCUCUUGGAGCGGCCGAUGUCGGAUUAGCUAGUUGGUGAGGUAAAGGCUCACCAAGGCGACGAUCCGUAGCAGGUCUGAGAGGAUGAUCUGCCACACUGGAACUGAGACACGGUCCAGACUCCUACGGGAGGCAGCAGUGGGAAUUUUGGACAAUGGGGGCAACCCUGAUCCAGCCAUGCCGCGUGAGUGAAGAAGGCCUU